rnacentral:misc_RNA from 1 species
GUGAAGAACGUAGCGAAAUGCGAUAAGUAAUGUGAAUUGCAGAAUUCAGUGAAUCAUCGAAUCUUUGAACGCACAUUGCGCCCGCCAGUAUUCUGGCGGGCAUGCCUGUUCGAGCGUCAUUUCAACCAUCAAGCCCCCGGCUUGUGUUGGGGACCUGCGGCUGCCGCAGGCCCUGAAAACCAGUGGCGGGCUCGCUAGUCACUCCGAGCGUAGUAAUACAUCUCGCUCAGGGCGUGCUGCGGGUUCCGGCCGUUAAAAAAGCCUUAUUUACCCAAGGUUGACCUCGGAUCAGGUAGGAAGACCCGCUGAACUUAAGCAUAUCAAUAAGCGGAGGA